CCUACGGGAGGCAGCAGUGAGGAAUUUUCCGCAAUGGGCGAAAGCCUGACGGAGCAAUACCGCGUGAAGGAAGAAGGUCCGUGGAUCGUAAACUUCUUUUCUCAAGGAAGAAUUAAUGACGGUACUUGAGGAAUAAGCACCGGCUAACUCUGUGCCAGCAGCCGCGGUAAU
rnacentral:rRNA from 1 species